rnacentral:lncRNA from 1 species
GACAGGCCACCAUAGCUGAGAGAGCAAAUGCCUUCAGGCGACAGUGUUGCUGUCUGAAACUGCUGUUAGGCUGGUGUAUUUGUAUGUGAGCAACAUAUAAGUAGUGGCUACUGUCAAUCUGUAGUUUAAAUAAAACAAAAUUGGUUCAGAAAAAAAAAAUUGCAAAAUAGUGUAGAUGACAACCAUUUCAUUUAACUGAAGUAGGACUUGGCUACAUUGGUAACAAAACCUCAAUUUGGAGCCACUGCUUACCAAGAAAGUUUCUGGGUUUACUUCCUAUACAAUAAUAUCUCAGUUUAAGGCAAGAUCUGAAAAGACCCAAGAUUUUACGAGAAAAAGAUGAGUGAGUGUGAAAAUGGAGUACAGGAAGCUCAAAGAUUAGGAUGAAAAUGGAAAUUCAGUUGCCGACGACAUAAAAAAUUUAGGGGGAAAGCCGCUUUCUAUUGCGCCAACUAUGGGAGAGUGACCAAUAGACCGAAAAUGGAAGCACAAGUAUGAUUGAAGUAGAGGAGCUUCAGCCAUAUUCACAUGGAUAUACAGAGCUAAACUUUUUUUGAAGGAUGAGGGAACAAUGAUGACCCACAUUGAUACCAUAUUCAACAUGAGUUGUAAUAUACAGGACCUCUGAUUAAUUAAGAUGGCAGAAAAGAAUGCAGCGGAGGAUUUUAAUCGAGGAAGCUGAGAAUAAAGCAGAAGGACGACAUGUGGACAUCAGUGAACAACCAAAGAAAUAAGCUUUUCCAGAGAUGGACGUCCAAGUAUGCUAUUGAUUUAUUUUGAUUGAGGUGAGAGGGAAUCUAGAAGACAAUUAUCUCAGUUCUUGAUAGUGCUCAUGGCCUCUGUAAGUGUGGCUCCUUCAUCUGGAUUAGGAGACGGCAGUGGAAAUACGGUUGCCCAGUGAGAUGAAUAACAUGAAAAUUAGGGAUGACAAGGCAUUGAGGUAAUUGUUGUGUUGACCUGCUGUUCAAAUUCUUUGUUACAACUUCAGCAAUUAAGCUAUUUUUUCAUUCUAGGAGUUGACCUGGCUUAUAUGCUCAUUGGUAUUGAAAAGAGACACCUACCUGAAGCAUAGCCGGAAGCAAAAUUGAGCUGUCAAAAUCUUAAUGAAAGAUUAUGUAGUGAAACCUUGAAUGGCAGGAGACACGAUGAUUUAGCUGUGUUCAGAAUGUUGAUGAGGAAAUACUAUAGUCAUGGGAGAUUCUUCUGCAGCAUUCAUACACACGUAACUGUUGAUGGCAAGCUUCUAUCCCAAAAUUCUAUUUUUGCAGUAAAUAUACAAAUCUACUUAAAUACCAGCUUGUGUAAUAUGUAAAGUUAUGACAUUCACCAAUAAACGUUUCUUAGUUUAUGGUUCUGAUUGUUUUACAUAUAAAAAAUUGAGGAAGAAAAAAAAUGUGCAAACCCGCAGCAUCGCGCAGGGCGUAUAUCUAGUGUAGAACUAAAAUUCAGUGAAU